rnacentral:rRNA from 1 species
GACGAACGCUGGCGGCGUGCCUAAUACAUGCAAGUAGAACGCUGAAGCUUGGUGCUUGCACCGAGCGGAUGAGUUGCGAACGGGUGAGUAACGCGUAGGUAACCUGCCUGGUAGCGGGGGAUAACUAUUGGAAACGAUAGCUAAUACCGCAUAAGAGUAGAUGUUGCAUGACAUUUGCUUAAAAGGUGCAAUUGCAUCACUACCAGAUGGACCUGCGUUGUAUUAGCUAGUUGGUGAGGUAACGGCUCACCAAGGCAACGAUACAUAGCCGACCUGAGAGGGUGAUCGGCCACACUGGGACUGAGACACGGCCCAGACUCCUACGGGAGGCAGCAGUAGGGAAUCUUCGGCAAUGGACGGAAGUCUGACCGAGCAACGCCGCGUGAGUGAAGAAGGGUUUCGGAUCGGAAAGCUCUGUUGUAAGAGAAGAACGAGUGUGAGAGUGGAAAGUUCACACUGUGACGGUAUCUUACCAGAAAGGGACGGCUAACUACGUG